rnacentral:misc_RNA from 1 species
UGAAAAGACAACUGAAGUGAAAUGAACGAAGUGAAUGUUGGUAGUACGCACACUACAUUUAAGACAUGCUUACCCAUAAAAAUGACAAACUAGACUAAGAAAAUGAAAGUGAAUAUCGACAGUAUGCACGCACGCACGCACACACACACACACACACACACACGCACGCACACACCAUACCACACCCUGCUGAAACCUGACUCAACAAAACAUGCACACACACACACACAGGCAUGUACAUACACACGACACACAUUUCAAGAAAUAUUUGAUGUAUUUGUUUUUAUAUGGAGAGAAAGACAUACAGCCGUGUAGACACGUGUGUAGAGAAGAUGAUGAAUUGAUGUAUGUGUGUUUACAGAUAGUCUCAUAACCCUUACCCUUGAAAAUGCCAAAUAGUAUUGAGUGAUGUGUGAGUGUUUAGUGUGGCAUACAUAGAUAUGUAUGCUCGCCAGUCGCAUGCGACUAUGGCAGCAGAGGAGGCACCACUGUCCCACUGCUUGGGCUACAGGUUUUGAUUAAAGUAGAGGCGCUACGCCCAGGGCGUCCCCCACUCUCUAGGCCCAGGGAGCUUAGAGGACAUUGGCAUUGAGGAUGCACCCCAAAAGGCCAAUUUGCCCCCAAGGCUGCAGCACUAAGAGCCAGUGCAGUUGCCUCCUAGUUUGAGAGCCAUAGCCUUCAACAAAGGGCUUAGUUGCAAUUGGAUUUCCCAUGGAAGAAGAGAAACCAGUGUUACAACUCUCAUUUUUUCUGUUAGGCUCCAACCUGAUGCUCAAUUCAAUGUUUGAUAGAAGCUCAUGAUGGUCAGAGCCAUCAUACAUACAUAGAUAGACUUUCACAUAACCCACUUCCCCUGAAAAUGCGACAGUUGAGUGAUACGUGUAUGUGUUUGCAUGGUUUAGAUAGAUAGAUAGAUAGAUACUCUUCCAACCCCUCCCAAUGGACAAAUGUGAAACAUAUUUAUCAGGGAUGUUAGAGCUAUGCGGAAAUGCGCUUUUUGUAUUCGACAAAAACUCUUU